rnacentral:rRNA from 1 species
UACGAAGGGUGCAAGCGUUAAUCGGAAUUACUGGGCGUAAAGGGCUCGUAGGCGGCCAACUAAGUCAGACGUGAAAUCCCCAGGCUCAACCUGGGAACUGCGUCUGAUACUGGAUGGCUUGAAUCCGGGAGAGGGAUGCAGAAUUCCAGGUGUAGCGGUGAAAUGCGUAGAUAUCUGGAGGAAUACCGGUGGCGAAGGCGGCAUCCUGGACCGGCAUUGACGCUGAGGAGCGAAAGCCAGGGGAGCAAACGGG